rnacentral:lncRNA from 1 species
GCUGACCUGACCUACAAACUGAGGGCAUGGUGUCCCAGUUUUGGAGACAAGAAAAAAGAAGAUACUUCAUUUAAAAAUCACACUCUAUCUGGAGUCAUUCCAGUGAGACUUAAGUGCUCAUGGAAGAAAACUAUGUGGAAAUGUGAACGAUGAUUAAGACAAAGAUAUCUUCAGGGAUGCACUGUGAGUGGUCAAUCAACCGAAUGCUAUCAAACAUCAAACCACCUCUUACUUGCUGCAGCCAAACACCAAACCUAGAAUCUGGGUUCAUGAUGUGUGCAUUGUCUGUGAAAAGCACAUCUUCGGUGUCAACCCUGAGGCAUCUCAGCUGACCUCUUACCCAGCUUCUGCUGGAGUAAAGUGAACAUUCUUUCUGCAGCUGCACAAGUUUGAGGGGUACUGCAUUCCCAU